rnacentral:rRNA from 1 species
GAUUAACGCUGGCUGCGUGCCUAACACAUGCAAGUCGAGCGGCAGCGAGUUUUACACUGAAUUCUGGAAGCUUCUGGUUUAAAGAGAAGAUUUAUUCAAGAAUUUUGUGUAAAAUGUCGGCGAGCGGCGGACGGCUGAGUAACGCGUGGGAACGUACCCCAAAGUGAGGGAUAACGCAUCGAAAGGUGUGCUAAUACCGCAUAUGGUCUUCGGAUUAAAGCCUUCGGGCGCUUUGGGAACGGCCUGCGUAAGAUUAGAUAGUUGGUGGGGUAAUGGCCUACCAAGUCGACGAUCUUUAACUGGUUUGAGAGGAUGAUCAGUCAGACUGGAACUGAGACACGGUCCAGACUCCUACGGGAGGCAGCAGUGAGGAAUCUUCCACAAUGGGCGAAAGCCUGAUGGAGCAACGCCGCGUGCAGGAUGAAGGCCUUCGGGUUGUAAACUGCUUUUAUAAGUGAGGAUUAUGACAGUAACUUAUGAAUAAGGAUCGGCUAACUACGUGCCAGCAGCCGCGGUCAUACGUAGGAUCCGAGCGUUAUCCGGAGUGACUGAGCGUAAAGAGUUGCGUAGGUGGUUCGAUAAGCGAAUAGUGAAAUCUGGUGGCUCAACCAUUCAGACUAUUAUUCGAACUGUGAACUCGAGAGCAGAAGAGGUAGCUGGAAUUUCUAGUGUAGGAGUGAAAUCCGUAGAUAUUAGAAGGAACACCGAUGGCGUAGGCAGGCUACUGGGCUGUUUCUGACACUGAGGCACGAAAGCGUGGGGAGCGAACCGGAUUAGAUACCCGGGUAGUCCACGCCGUAAACGAUGGAUACUAGCUGUUUGGGGUAUCGACCCCCUGAGUAGCGAAGCUAACGCGUUAAGUAUCCCGCCUGUGGAGUACGAUCGCAAGAUUAAAACAUAAAGGAAUUGACGGGGACCCGCACAAGCGGUGGAUCAUGUUCUUUAAUUCGAUGAUAACCGAUAAACCUUACCAGGUCUUGACAUCCUUGGAAUCUUUCAGAAAUGAGAGAGUGCUUUUUAAGAGCCAAGUGACAGGUGAUGCAUGGCCGUCGUCAGCUCGUGUCGUGAGAUGUUUGGUUAAGUCCAUCAACGAGCGCAACCCUUGUCAGUAGUUGUAUUUUUCUACUGAGACUGCCCCGGCAACGGGGAGGAAGGAGGGGAUGACGUCAGGUCAGUAUUUCCCUUACGUCCUGGGCUAGAAACGUGAUACAAUGGCUAGUACAAUGCGCAGCGAAGCCGCGAGGUGAAGCAAAUCGCAUCAAAGCUGGUCCCAGUUCGGAUUGUAGGCUGAAACUCGCCUGCAUGAAGUCGGAAUCGCUAGUAAUCGCAGAUCAGCAUGCUGCGGUGAAUACGUUCCCGGGUCU